UUUUGUCGCCCCCUCUCAUCCCUUUCCUUCCUCAUUUUUGUCCUAUUUAUCGUUGAAAAGAAAAAGUAAAAUUAUAUUAAACUUAAAAAAAUGUGGUGGGGGAAAUUAAGAAUAAAUGGAAUAAAAAGGGAGAGGUGGGGUGAGAAAAGGGAAUGGAGGAGAAGAAGGAAUUAUGGAUUUUUUUGGUUCUUUUUGUCUCCCCCUCUCAUCCCUUUCCUUCCUCUUUUUUGUCCUAUUUAUCGUCGAAAAAAAAUUAAUUAAAAUUAUAUUAAAAAAAAGUGUUGGCGCGGAGGGCGGAAUGAUGGGGAAAAUUGAGGAUAAAUUGAAUAAAAAGGGAGAGGCGGGGUGAGAAAAGGGAAUGGAAAAGAGGGGGAAAAGUGGAAAAGUGAAAUUGGAGUGGAGGAGUGAGUGUGGAGAGGCGAAAAACAGGAAUUAAAAAAGUGAAAAAGUGAGAAAAGUUCAGGAAUUGAAAAGUGGGAAAGUGGCAAAAGUUCAGGAAUUAAAAAGUGCAAAAAGUUCAGGAAUUAAAAAGUUCAGGAAUGAAAAAGCGGAGGAAUGAAAAAAGCGGAAAAAAAAGAGAAAAAGUGCAGAAAUAAAGAAAAAAAUUAAAAGUGGAGGAGUGAAUGCGGAGGAAUGAAUGCGCAGAAUUUAAUUAAUUAAUGCGGAGAAAUGAGCGAGCGAAUGAGCGAGGAGGAAUUAAUUAAUUAAUGAAUUCAUUAAUUAAUGAGAGAGCUCCUCAAACCCCCACGGAUCCCCCCAAAAUCUCCCGCUCCGAACUCCCCGCACCCCAAAAAUGGGGAAAAUCGGGCAAAAAUCGGGGCAAAAAUGGGGCAAAAAUCGAGGCAAAAAUGGGCAAAAAUUGGGGCAAAAAUGGGGCAAAAAUUGGGGCCAAACUGGGCAGAAUUGGGGCCACCAAUUCCCCCCGAACCUCAGCGAUUCCCGGUGAGAAAAAUUCCGAUUUUCCUCGGGGAAAUGCCCUAAAAAAGCGCUUUUUCGGCCCAAAUUUGCCUUUUUGUCCUGGGCUCAUCACCGCAUCCACAAACUGUGACGGUUUCUGUGUGAAUAUUUUUCUCUGUGUUCGUGGUUCCUGUAUUUAUAUUUAUGUUUAGCGCUGUAAUGUUCGGAAAAAAAAAAAAAAGGGGGGUAAAAAAUUAAAAAAAAUAAAAUAAAAAAAAAUGAAUGGAGUUCA
rnacentral:lncRNA from 1 species